AGAGUUUGAUCCUGGCUCAGAAUCAACGCUGGCGGCGCGCUUAACACAUGCAAGUCGCACGAGAAAGUGGAGCAAUCCAUGAGUAAAGUGGCGUACGGGUGAGUAACACGUGGAUCAUCUACCUUUUAGUGGGGAAUACCCCUGGGAAACCGGGGACAAUACCGCAUAAGCUCGUAAGAGGAAAGCAGCAAUGCGCUGAAAGAGGAGUCCGCGCCUGAUUAGCUAGUUGGCGGGGUAACGGCCCACCAAGGCGAAGAUCGGUAGCCGGCCUGAGAGGGCACACGGCCACACUGGCACUGAAACACGGGCCAGACUCCUACGGGAGGCAGCAGUGGGGAAUCUUGCACAAUGGAGGAAACUCUGAUGCAGCGACGCCGCGUGAGCGAUGAAGCCCUUCGGGGUGUAAA
rnacentral:rRNA from 1 species